rnacentral:rRNA from 1 species
GACGAACGCUGGCGGCGUGCUUAACACAUGCAAGUCGAACGGAAAGGCCCUGCUUUUGUGGGGUGCUCGAGUGGCGAACGGGUGAGUAACACGUGAGUAACCUGCCCUUGUCUUUGGGAUAACUUUAGGAAACUGGGGCUAAUACCGGAUAGGAGCUCCUGCUGCAUGGUGGGGGUUGGAAAGUUUCGGCGGUUGGGGAUGGACUCGCGGCUUAUCAGCUUGUUGGUGGGGUAGUUGCUUACCAAGGCUUUGACGGGUAGCCGGCCUGGGAGGGUUACCGGGCACAUUGGGACUGAGGUAGGGCCCAGAAUGCUACGGGAGGCAACAGGCGGAAAUCUUGCAGAAUAGGCGGAAGCCUGAGGCAGCAACGCCGCGUUCGGGAAGACGUCCUUCGGGUUGUGAACCGCUUUCGCCUGUGACGAAGCGUUAGUGACGGUAAUGAGUAAAGAAGCACCGGCUAACUACGUG